rnacentral:rRNA from 1 species
GUGUCAGCAGCCGCGGUAAUACGUAGGAGGCGAGCGUUAUCCGGAUUUAUUGGGCGUAAAGUGGGCGUAGGUGGUCUUUCAAGUCAGAUGUGAAAUCUCCCGGCUUAACCGGGAGGGGUCAUCUGAUACUGUUGGACUGGAGUACGGCAGGAGAAAAUGGAAUUCCCGGUGUAGUGGUGAAAUGCGUAGAUAUCGGGAGGAACACCAGAGGCGAAGGCGGUUUUCUAGGCCGAAACUGACACUGAGGCCCGAAAGCGUGGGGAGCGAACAGGAUUAGAUACCCUGGUAGUCCACGCCUUAAACUAUGGGUACUAGGUAUAGGGAGUAUCGACCCUUUCUGUGCCGAAGCUAACGCUUUAAGUACCCCGCCUGGGGAGUACGGUCGCAAGACUAAAACUUAAAGGAAUUGACGGGG